rnacentral:rRNA from 1 species
GACGAACGCUGGCGGCGUGCCUAAUACAUGCAAGUCGAACGCUUCUUUCCUCCCGAGUGCUUGCACUCAAUUGGAAAGAGGAGUGGCGGACGGGUGAGUAACACGUCGGUAACCUACCCAUCAGAGGGGGAUAACACUUGGAAACAGGUGCUAAUACCGCAUAACAGUUUAUGCCGCAUGGCAUAAGAGUGAAAGGCGCUUUCGGGUGUCGCUGAUGGAUGUACCCGCGGUGCAUUAGCUAGUUGGUGAGGUAACGGCUCACCAAGGCCACGAUGCAUAGCCGAACUGAGAGGGUGAUCGGCGACACUGGGACUGAGACACGGCCCAGACGCCUACGGGAGGCAGCAGUAGGGAAUCUUCGGCAAUGGACGAAAGUCUGACCGAGCAACGGCGAGUGAGUGAAGAAGGUGUUCGGAUCGUAAAACUCUGUUGUUAGAGAAGAACAAGGACGUUAGUAACUGAACGUUCAGUGACGGUAUCUAACCAGAAAGCAACGGCUAACUACGUG